rnacentral:tmRNA from 1 species
GGGGCUGAUUUUGGAUUCGACGUAAUUUUUAAAAUUUUAAAGCAUGCCGAGGAAUGGUUGGCCUCGUUAAAAAACCAAAUAAAUAAUUGCAGAAAAAAAUUUAAAAUAUUCUUUAGUAGCUUAAAUAAUAAAAAUAAAUUAUAAAAUAUUAAUAAAAUAAUAAAUUAGUAAAUAAGUAAAUUAAUAUAUAAAAAUAAAAUAUUAAUAAAACAAUAAUUAUUAUAUUUUGUUUAAUUUAUUAAAUUAAACUAAGCAUGUAGUAUUAUAAUUAUUAAAAAUUACGGACGCGGGUUCAAAUCCCGCCAGCUCCAA